AGAUGAAGAAGAUUGCAGCUUUGGUUCUCCUCUUAGUCCUUGUAGCCUCUCAGAUGGAGGAGGCCCACUCAACUGAGGCAUUUCAGUGCCACGAUGAGUGCACAUUGAAUUGCGUUGGAGAAGAUCAGAGUAAGAUCGAAGGCUGUGACCGCAAGUGUCAAGUACAAUGUGACCCAGGUUUUGCGGGUGCGGCCGGUCUGCUCUAGUCAUGGGAUGAAGCUAUAGUGAACGUAUUUUCGCCUGAUUUUUCUAAUAAAAUGUAAACCCAAUCCGGUUUAAAAUAAGAUAGUUAUUGUAUGUGGGCUUUUAACUUUGUUUAUUUUAAAAGUCUAUCAACCGUCGAUCAUAAUGAGCUCUUGUAAAAAUGUCCGCCGGUUUGGGACAUUUCUCAUUGUAACAUUAUCUUCUCUGAUAAUAAAAGGCGUUGAUUGAAUUAUUGUGAUU